CUUUUUUUUUUUUCUUCUUUCUUAACUCUCUUUUCAUUCUUUAUCAUACCUACUAUUUUCUCUUUUCUUUUAUGUCAUUCACAUAACAAUGACGAGAAUUAGGUUUUAUGUCUUAUUGUCGAUAGUUUUUUUUUAUAUAAAUAUAUCAAGAGGGAAUCCUAUAGUUUAAUUUAUAUUUUUCAUAAUAUAUGUUAUAAUAUUAGAAGACAAAACCUCAUUAUUUGAUGUACCUCAAUAUCAACACAGUUAAUAUCCACCCGCUUCAAAUCGUCCAAUUAUCACCUCAUAAACUGAUUUUCUUUCCAUUACCAAUCAUCCACUUAAAACGAUCUUCAAAACUCCUUCCUCAAUUCUCCAAUGUCCAAACCUCCUUCAAGUCUUUCUACCAGAGAGACUCCUUUACAUUAACCCUUUGAUCUCUCAGUCUUCUACAACCUCCGUACUUGGACUCAAGAAUACCCUUCCACAAGCCUCCCUUGUUUGUCCUCAAAUGUCAAAUCCAUUUUUCUAAAAGAGAAAUAUUGAGAAGUUUCAAAUCAAUAAUACUCAGACCGCCAGCCUCUCGAGGCUCGCAAACUUUUUUCCAAUAAGUCCAAGCGAUCUUCCUCCUUUCCGAGCCCCACCCCCACAGAAAAUGCCCUUUGAAUUCUUUCUAUCUCUUUUAACACUACAACAGACAACUUAUAUAGAGACAUGUAAAAUAACAUAAUUGACGAAAGCAUGGACUUAAUAAGGCAUAUCCUCCCAGCCAAUGAGAAAAGCCUACAUUUCCAUCUUCACAUUCUAGUCUUCAAUUUUUUUAUCGCGCCACCCCAAAAACACCUCUCUUGUAACACCCCCAACCAACAAACCCAAGUAUUUAAAAGGAAUUCUCAUCACCUCACAAUUAAGAAUAGCUGUAAACUGCUGCAUCGUUGUUUGAUCAAUCCCCACCCCACCAAUCCUACUCUUCAAGAAAUUCACCUUAAGACCAUAGCACAAUUCAAAAGAAUUUAAUGACACCUUAAUGUUAAACACACUCUUGGAAUUGACUUCACAAAAGAAUAAAGUAUCAUAUGCAUACUGCUACAUAUUAACCUUAACUUUCUUGUCCCCAAUUUCCAGACUUUGGUAGCAAAAACUUUGGUUUAUAAUUAGAUACCAAUUUAGAAACCAUUUAACAAUAAUGGAAACUAAUUUAGAAACAAUUUUUUUUUAGUCUCUAAAAUAGUUUCUAAUUUAGUCACUAUAGCAACUAAUUAUAUUUUGUUUUUAAAAUUAGUUUUUAUUUCAUGAUUUUCUUGUAGUAUAUAUAACACAAUAUUUUGUUUACAAAACAGAUUUGAACUUUUAUUUUAUAAUUAAUCUCUAAUCUCCUAAUGUUUUUACUUUUGUUAUUGUCCGUCUCAAUGGAAUUUUUUAUUUAUUUUACUUUCUAUAGUUUUUCAUUGAGGAAUCUUUUGGAAUUUGGAAUCAUCGUUGACGUCGUACUAGUAAAAUAUUAUUGUGAAAUUCACGUAACAUGGUUCUGCUACUGCCCCCUAUAUAAGAUCCUAUAUAAUUCUAACAUGAGAUUCACGAGAGCGUUUUCUUCCACCUCAUUGUGAUAGAAACAAUGUUGUCCCCACUUCUAAUUCUAUGCCUCGCUAUUCCUGUGUUUUUCUCAUUCUUCCUCUGCCGCAAAACCUUGAACAACCCACCAUUUCCACCUGGUCCCAGAGGCCUUCCCAUAAUAGGGAACCUUCAUCAGCUGAAUACUUCUGCUCUUCCUCUUCAGCUAUGGAAAUUCUCAACAAAAUAUGGCCCAAUAUUUUCCCUCAAAUUAGGUUUAAGACCAGCCAUUGUUGUUUCCUCUCCUAAACUUGCCAAAGAGGUAAUGAAGGAUCAUGACCUUCAGUUUUGUGGGCGACCUAGACUACUUGGCCAACAGAAACUGUCUUAUAAUGGGGUUGACAUUGCUUUUUCCCCCUACAAUAGUUACUGGAGAGAAAUCAGAAAAAUUUGUGUUGUUCAUAUUCUUAGCUCCAUUCGUGUCUCUAACUUUUCCUCAAUAAGACACUUUGAGGUCAAGCAAAUGAUGGGAAAAAUAUCCAUGCAUGCCUCAUCUUCUAAGGUUACAAAUUUGAGUGAUGCACUCGUGUCCCUCACCAGCACCAUUAUAUGUAGAAUUGCCUUUGGGAGAAGGUAUUGCAAGAGACACAUGGAGAAUACUACUGUUCACACUCAAACAAACUCACUUAAUUUUGAUUUCUUAUAUUCUGCAGUUGUCAAAAAGCAACAUUUUUCUUCUAAAUUUUAGACGAAAAUGAGUGACAGAUAUACUUUCAAAACUGUUUUCUAAGUUAUACUAUUUGUUUAAGGUAAAGUGACAGCAUAGCAGUACCAAGUUUAAUCAAAUGUUUCACAAUUUUUAGUAUCAUACGUUGUUCCAUUUUCCACCAGGUAUGAAGAUGAAGGAACAGAAAGGAGCAUGUUCCAUAGGCUACUGAAUGAGUGUCAAGCCAUGUUGGCCAUGCUGUUUUUCUCAGAUUAUAUUCCUUUCUUGGGUUGGAUUGAUAAACUCAGAGGACUACGUGGUCGUCUUGAACAGAAUUUCAAGGAGUUGGAUACCUUCUACCAACAAGUCAUUGAUGAACACAUGGAUCCCAACAGAAAGAAACCAGAGAACGAGGAUUUAAUAGAUGUCUUACUUCAACUCAAAAAGCAACGUUCGUUUUCUGUAGAUCUCCAAAAUGAUCAUAUCAAAGCUGUGUUCAUGGUUUGGAGUUCCUUCCCUUUCCUCAUUUAAUUUAUCUACUUGAGAUAGACCAUUUUAUUUAAAUAUUAUGUGUUUAAUUAAAACUUUGUUAGAAGUUAAAUUUUUUGCUCCAUAGAAUUUUAACUACAAAGUUUAUCCUUUCAAUAAUGUAAUAUCUAGCACUUUCACACACCAUAAGAAUGGAUAAAUUUGACUUGUUUUGAUCCAUAUAAACCUUAUUCAUAAAGGUUGGGUUUCCAUCACUUGUUUUCUUUUUCCAAGUGACUUGAGUCUCAUUCUCUUUGAUGUUUCAUGAUUCUUCCUAAGGUUUUGACUUAACAUAAUUAAUGGAAAUUGUUUCACUCUUUAUAUAAGCUAUAAGCUACUUUACCAAAUUAUGUCUCAAAUGUGUAUGUAUGUUCUUUCCAUUCUAAGUUUUGUUUUUAGAUAUAGUUAUUGUUGUUUGACAAUCACUAUACAAAUGAUGUUGGUUUCAUUCCUAACGAAAUAUUUGCUACGAAGUUUUUUAACCACUCAACUUAACUUCCAACUAUUUCAAGAACAAAAAACUUUGAUUCUAUUGUUGAUCUUGCAAUAAAUAUUUGCAUGACAGAUUUCCAUGUAACUGCACCACCUCAAGUAUAAACAUAUAACCACGAGUGAAUUUUGUCUCAUCUGAAUCAGUGAUCUAGUUAGCAUCAUUGUAUCCUUUUAGCACAACAGGAAAUCCACUAUAUUCAAUGACAUAAUCUAUUGUACCUCUUAAGUAUUUUAAAAGUUUUGCAAGUGCAUCCCAAUAAUCCUAAUUAGGAUAUUAAGUGUACCUACUCAAUCUUUUUACUGCAUACAAUGUCUGGUAUAGAAAAGUUCAUUAAAAGCAUUAAGCUCCCAAUUAUCCGGGCAUAUUGAGACCUCGAAAUAGGUUAUCCUAUAUUUUUCUUUAAUUAAGAGUUAACAUCAUAAGAGAUGUCUACUGAUUUAAAGUCAUAUAAUAGCUAAACUUCCUAAAAAAAAUUCAAUAUAUUGUUCUUGGAAUAGUAAUAUAUUAUUUUCCUUCCUCGUGACUCUAACUCCUAAAAUCACAUUUGUUUCACCCAUAUCUUUCAUUUAAAACCUCGACCCAAAAAAACUUUUUGUUUUAAAAACUAUAUUAUCGCUUGUACCAAAACUAUAUAUAAUAAAUUUAAGUUCACUUCUUAAAAAUUGUAGUUAAAUUUAAAAGCUUAUUUAUCAAAAUAACUUGGAUCAAUUAUGAAUUGUUGAUUUCUUUUCUACAGAAUAUGCUUAUAGGAGCAACGGACACAACUUCUGCUACAACGGUCUGGGCUAUGACCGCACUGCUAAAAAAUCCAAGAGUAAUGAAGAAAGUUCAAGAAGAACUUAGGAAUUUGGGGAAUGAAAAGGAUUUUCUACAUGAAGAUGAUAUUCAAAAGCUUCCCUAUUUAAAGGCUGUGAUAAAAGAGACACUGAGACUGCACCUACCAGCACCCCUACUUGUGCAAAGGGAAACAAAUGAACCAUGUAUUUUAGAGGGCUAUGAAAUUCCAGCCAAGACAAUAGUGUAUGUGAAUGCUUGGGCUAUCCAUAGAGACCCUAACACUUGGAAAGACCCAGAGGAGUUUUUACCAGAGAGGUUCUUAGAUAGUACAACAGAUUUUCGAGGGCAAGAUUUUGAGUUCAUUCCAUUUGGUGCUGGACGUAGAAUUUGCCCUGGUAUCCUUAUGGCAAUUGCUUCAUUGGAUCUUAUUCUAGCCAAUCUUCUCAGGUCAUUUGAUUGGGAAUUACCACCCGGAAUAAGAAAGGAAGAUAUUGAUACUGAAGUGUUGCCAGGAAUUACUCAGCAUAAGAAGAAUCCUCUCUAUGUUUUGGCUAAGUUUCGAGUCUAAAAGUUUGAUUAAUAAAAUGUGUGCAAUAUUAUGUUUUGUUGUUGUUUUGUGUCUUUAGCUGCAUGGGGAUAAUAUUGUGUUCAAUCCCUAUUCCAGAAUAUCUUUUUAUUGUAUAAUUAAAUUUAGAUAUUGAUUUUGGUUGUAUGUACAAUGAGAUGAGAAAUGUGUCCCUCUUUGUAUUUUGUAUGAAUGGCCAAUGAAUAUCAUAAAAUUAUUGAAGUAAUACUAAUGAACCUAGUGAUAUGUAACAAUGGAGGAAUUGAUGUACUUGUGUUGGUAUUAUAGGUCGAUAAAAAAAACAUUUAUGUAUGUUCAUGAGAUUAAGACAAAAGAUUCACUUAAUAAAGUUAAAACUUACUUUUUCUUUUAAAAGAAAAUUACUUAGUAUAAUUGCUAAAUAAAGAAUUAUCCUAAGAAAACUCCUAAAUUUACUAAAUAGGUACCGUAUAAUAUAAAGAAAGUAUAAGAUGAUUGGGGACUAGACUAAAAUCUAUAGAAUUGAUCAUCAAAAGAAAAUAAUGAAAAAUAGUUCUUAUUAUAUUGUACGGUUCCGAGGGGUCUCAAUCAAGACUUUGGUUAAAUAUUUUUCGAAUAACGUGACUGAUAUAGUCCUUAUAAAUGCCAUAAACAUCUUUUAAUACAAAUGAUUAACGUAAUUACUGUACAAAAUUUUAUCUAAAAUUUUAAAGUUAACUCAAUAAUAUACCUUAAUUUUGGUCUAGUGUCUGGCCAUCACAAUCAUGUAAAUCAGCACACCAACCAAGACAAUAUUCCACUCAACUAUCGCAUAUUGAAUACUGACUUAGACAUCAGAGUAUCUUUUACAGAUAUACCACCUACAGCGAUCGAAGAUCGAAGACCAUACGAUAUCCUUAACUAGAAUUAACAACAAUUUAAAAAGCUUAAUGAAGAAUUGAGAUAUUUUCAGUCCUUUUGUAAGUACACUUAUUUUUUAAGAAAUUAUAAUUGUUGAAGUAUGUGCUUCGAGAGUGAUCUCAAUAAAAAAAAAAUGCUCUUAAAACCUCUAAGAAAGUCAUGGUAUUAUUAUGAAAAUACAACCACAAUAGAGCCUGGUUAUCACUUAACUUUCUCAGUUUUUUUAUUAGCAAAAAAGGACCAUUUCAGGAGUUAAGACUUUCUAAGUGUUGCAUUUAAUUCAUGAAAUAUGGAGAAAGAUCUAUCCAGUUAACUUUAAUGAACACAAAAUAGGAAAAUGGUUAAAAGUUAUAUUAAAAAAUGUAUCAUGGAAGAGGAUUCAUUAAUUUUUUAGAUUUUUCCAAGGAAACUUAUCUUCUGGAAAAAAUAAAACUUCAUACAAGAAUGAUGAGAUGUAAUUUAUUUAUUUUUAAAUGUUUUAUGUAUAUUUGUCCAUUAAAUAGUUUAUGUAUAGAUUUUAUAAAGUGAAAGUAAGACGCAUAAGAAUUUAUUUCAGAUUUUAAAUUUUAAAUAUCAUGUGAAAAUUAAAAUAAUUUUUUAAUUGAAUAUUAUUUUCUUAAAUUUAAUUAAUUGUUUAUUCUAUAAGUUUAAAAUUUUGUUUCUAUAAAGCAAAAAUGUUCAUAUUCAUGUGUUAUUAUAUAUUUAGUUAAAAGGUUGUAUAUUAUUCUUUAUACUUCAAUGAAAAAUAAUCAUUUUCAUUUUCUGUAUUUUCAUAAUUUCAAUGGUUGUAAAAUAAAGCUACUAAAAAAUAUUUUAAAAAAAGGGAUAAAAACACAUUUAAAACGAUAUAAUUAUUAUAAUAAAAGUAUAUAAUUUAUCAUAAUAAUUUAAAUAUUUAUAUAUAAUCAAUAAUUCUGCAUUUUAAUUCAUUUCACUUUUAUUUCUCUUUGCUAAAUUAACUCAUCGAGCAUCCACGUUUGUCACCAUAGUUGUCUCGUCCUAUAGUUCAAUUAGUGAGGUGAUAAAAACCAUAUUAAAGGACAAUUUCACUUAAGAUGAAAUAACCUUACAAAAAUGUAAUACUCAAUUAUGAACUCUUAACCAUAGACUUCAAAAUAUAAUUACAACACAAUACAAAAAAAAACAUAUAAAAAAUUAAAGCUCAUAGAACUCACCUUUAACAGCAAAUGGUGGUUAAAGAUCCAACACCACCAAAAUCAAAGGGAGAGAGAUCUCCAAACCUCAAAAGAAGGAACAAUAAGAUGAGCUUUUUAUAAGACACCCAAAGAAGAACACAAGAUUUUACAGUAACAACAUACAAUAGAACAUGAGUAGAGAUUUAGCACCAACGUUCAAUCCCAACAUGGAAUUCUCCUAAAGACUUUUUUUCAAUAUGCUUGUAGGUUUCAAUGCGUCUUGAUCUUUAGCUCAUCUUUAAAAUCAUUAUGUAUAUGUAAAUCUUCAAUCAUUAAGGCUUGAUAUUGUUUUCCUUACUAAAUGUGUGAAUCACAUGUUGUAGCUUCUUCAUUUUAAACGCUCUUAAAGGAAACUUUUCCAAAUCUUUGCCAAAUUUAUGUUGUAGUGACACCUAUUGUGUUUUGGAGAUUUUCCUCGUUUUUCUAAAGGAGUCUUCGUAUGUGCAUUCAAGGUUCUAGACUAAUGGAUCCAUCUCAAGGUUCGAUGACGAUGAUGAUGUAACAAUUUUGCAUUUGGUAAGUACCAUAAAGCUUUGUGGCUUAAGAAUAAUUUUACCCAGACCCUACGGUGGGAACCAAAUGUUCUUACCAGGAAGAACCAUUCUCUCAAGGUAGAAAGAGUGAUACUUUGAGAAAAUUGAGCUUAAUUCUUCGAGGAAGGGUCACCAAGUUGUUAAUGAAGAUUGAAAGGAGAUUCACCUGUAAAAGAUUGUCGUUCAAGUCAGUAAAAACUAGAAAAGUUGUUGAAUAUAUGAAAAUAUGAAUGUUUGAAUAAAAAAAAUUGUAUAUACAUAUAAAUAUUCAAAUUAUAAAUAAUAUAAAUUAUCUUCACGAAUGUUCAAAUAUCUAUGAGGCAAGUAGUACAAUAUAAUUUCAUGCCCCACCAUUGUAACAGUACAUUAUUAUGAAAUAUUGAGAAAUUAUCUUUUAUUAUUUUAUAAAAAAAUAAAACUUAAACAGAACAUAAAUAUGAUUAAUAUUACGAAGUGGACUUUAAGCCUAACUCAAUCCCAUAAAACCGGCUCAUAGGGUUGAGGUCUGCACCCAUUUAUAUACAAUGAAUUGUCCUUAUCUCUAGUCGAUGUGGGAUCUCCAACACACUCCCUCACGCCGAGAGUGGGAUAACAUAUUAUGGGUGGUGGCCUGAUAAACCCAACAAAUACUCGCUAGGAUAGGAUCGAAAUGGCUCUGAUAUCAUAUUAAAGAGUGGACUUUAAGCCUAACUCAACCCCAUAAAACCGGCUCAAUGAGGUGAGGAUUGCACCCACUUAUAUACUAUGAAAGGCUCUAAUAUCUAGUCGAUGUGGGAUCUCCAACACCCCCCCCUCACGCUGAGAGUGAUAGAUAGGAGUUCGUGCGUGGGAUAACAUAUUAUGGGUGUUGGCCUGAUAAACCCAACACUCGCUAGGAUAGGCUCGAAACAAAAACAGUUUUUUACAAAGAUUAAUAAAAACAACUUGAAUCUUCUGAUUUUUAUUAAAUAUACUUUUUUAUUCAUAAUUGUGAUGUUCAAUUUUAUGCUAUUAUUUUAAAUAUUUUUAACUUGUUUAAUUUAAAAAAUAAGUUAAUACAAUUUAUCCUAUCAAAUUCAUGGUAACCUUUAUUGUAAAGUCUAGUAACAUUUUUUUUCAUGCUAGAUGUCAUUUUUGUUAAUAAGUUCACUUUGAGUCAUCAACCUAACAUUCCAAAGAAAGACUCUACAUUAUUUUCAUAUCAAAACACAUAUAUGCAAUAAUCACUCACAGGAUUAUCUAUCCAAAGCAAGACUAAGCAUUAUUUAUACACCAAGACACGUAUAUGUAAUAGAUACUCAAACAAGGAUUAAUUAUAUACAAUAUCAGUAUGUAGUGACCUCUCUCUCAUUGUCUAUAUACUCAAUGGUGACUGAAUUCACAAUAGAGUCUCAAUAUUUGGACAACUCAUACCAACAUCAUUUUUCUUCACAAUAUCAUAGCUUCAAAAGAGGCCUUUUUCGGAGAAAAAAAAAUCUGAAAAAUCAUAAAUAUUUACAGAAACUAAGUACACCAAAAUAUAUACAGUUUAAAGGUAUAUUCCACAAAAAAUCAUCAUACUCCAAAAAAAUAAGCAAAUACCAAACACAAACAAAAUGUAUUACCUUUGGUCACCAAUACCACCACCCAACCACUAUCAAAACAGUCGCACCCACGAUGACGACCAAUCACUGUGGAAAGAUGUGCACCCACCACCACGACCAACCACCUCAAAACAGCCACACCCAUGACGACGACCAACCACCGUGAAAAGAGGCGCACCCACCACGACCACCACCAAUGGUUGAAGAGAAAGCUUGAGGAGAAGGUGUAAGAGGAUGUGGAGGAGAAGAGGGAAAACGACAACGAACUCAAAAAGAAAGUGAAAGAGGUGCAACCCCAAUUUCUAACCUAAUUUCACAAUGCGACCAAGAGACUCAAAUAUUAUAUUUUCAGAAAUUUUAUUGGGUCCCACAACAGAAAUAAAAUAUUAUUAUCUUUGUCACAUCAACAGUUGUAUGUUGGAGCAAUGCAUUUGUGGUUGUUCAACCAUCAUUCUUCAAUUAAAAGUUGCAUUCUCAGAGUUCCAAAUCUAUUCCCAGUCCAGCAGAAAAAUUUAACUUUUAGAAAAAUAAAAUAAAGCUCUUGUGUACACUGCUUGGAGUUCAUGUUUACCUAGCUUGUUAAAACUGCUUCUUCCUGUACUUUCAUCACUCCUUCAACCACCUCUAUAAAUUUUUAAAUUCUCAAAAAACUUCUUCACUAAAAAGAUAAAAUAGAAACAAUGUUUUACACUGCGAAUUAUAUAAUCUAGAAGUCAAAAGUUAUAAAUUCUAGAUUAAGUAAUCUAAAACCUAUUUAACAACUCAAAAUACCGGAUUAUGUAAUACAUAACUUAUUUAAGAAAAUAAACUUAUUAGAUUACAUAAUUGGAAUUAAAAAAUUACCACCUUCGAAUUACAUAAUUCGGAACUGUUAAUUUUUAAUUUUUGACUUCCGAAUUACGUAAUCCAGUAAAUUUAUUUACUUAAAUAAGCUCUGGAUUGCGUAAUCCGAUAUUGUAUGUUAUUAAAUAAGUUUCGCAUUAUGUAAUCCAGAAGUUGUAAUUUUUUACUUCCAGAUUACAUAAUCUGAAAGCUGUAAUUUUUUACUUCCAAAUUAUGUAAUCUGAAAUCUGUAAUUUUUUUACUUCCGAAUUACGUAAUUCAUAGUAUAAAACAUUACUUUUAUUUUUUACUGAAGGCUAAUUUUAGAAAUUUACAAAUUUAUGGAGGUGGCUGAAGAAGUGAUGGAAGUGCAGGAAGAAGCAGUCCUUGUAAAAAUUGUACAAAUUUACGCUGUUUCUUUCUGCACCCUAAUAAAUUUCUUCCUACACUCAUCACUUUCAAAGAAGACUGUUUUACCAUUAUGAAAAUGACUUCCAAUCUCAUCAUGUAUAUAUAUAACUAUGUCAACCUCAAUCUUUUUUAAUACUUCCCAGAUAUUUCUCAGCCAAGGUAGUUGAUAAUUUUGGGAUCCUACCUUAGUUUAUGAGGUUGUAGUGUAAUAAUCUAAACCUUCUUACCCUACCAUAUAUAGUACAAUUAGUAUAAGUAUAAUAGAAAAACUUCCUAAAGUACAAAAGAGAAGUAAAAAAACUAAAUUUAGGAAAAAAUAAUUCAUGAUGACCAAAAUGACACAUGUAUUGAUAAGAAAAGGAAUUGUAACUCUCCUUACCAAAUCAUAAAUGAAAUUAUUAACUUCAUUAAAUACUAAAUAGUUAAGUUAGUUUUUUAUGUUCUUUAACUACUUCACUCUAAAAUAUACUACAUGUUUCUAGAUUAUUAUAGAAAACGUUCAUUUUUGUAAGGGAAUUUUAGUAAAAGCAUUUUUAAAAUAUUUGGAUAUUCUUAGAUCAUUAUAGAAAAUCUUUCUUAAAGAGAAUUUCUAUUCCAAUAUAUAACACAAUAUUUUGUUUCAAAACAGAUUUGAACUUUUAUUUUACAAUUAAUCUCUAAACUCCUAAGUUUUCUACUUUUGUUAUUGUCCUCUCAAUGGAAUUUUGUACUUAUUUUACUUUCUAUAGUUUUUCAUUGAGGAAUCUUUUGGAUUUUGGAAUCAUCGUCGACGUCAUACUAGUAAAAUAUUAUUGUGAAAUUGACGUAACAUGGUUAUGCCCCUACAAAAGAUCCUAUAUGAUUCUAACAUGAGGUUCACGAGAGCGUUUUCUUCCACCUCAUUAUAAUAGAAACAACGUUAUCCCCUACAAUGUUGUGCCCUACAAUGUUGUCUCCACUUCUAAUUCUAUGCCUUGCUAUUCCUGUGUUUUUCUCCUUCUUCCUCUGCCGCAAAACCUUGAACAACCCACCAUUUCCACCUGGUCCCAAAGGGCUUCCCAUAAUAGGGAACCUUCAUCAGCUGAAUACUUCUGCUCUUCCUCUUCAGCUAUGGAAAUUCUCAAAAAAAUAUGGCCCAAUAUUUUCCCUCAAAUUAGGUUUAAGGCCAGCCAUUGUUGUUUCCUCUCCUAAACUUGCCGAAGAGGUAAUGAAGGAUUAUGACCUUCAGUUUUGUGGGCGACCUAGAUUAUUUGGCCAACAGAAACUGUCUUAUAAUGGGAUUGACAUUGUCUUUUCCCCAUACAAUAGUUACUGGAGAGAAAUGAGAAAAAUUUGUGUAUUUCAUAUCCUUAGCUCCAUUCGUGUCUCUAACUUUUCCUCAAUAAGACACUUAGAGGUCAAGCAAAUGAUGGGAAAAAUAUCCAUGUAUGCCUCAUCUUCUAAGGUUACCAAUUUGAGUGAUGCACUCAUGUCCCUCACCAGCACUAUCAUAUGUAGAAUUGCCUUUGGGAGAAGGUAUUGUAAGAGACAUGGAGAAUACUACUCUUCACUCUCAAACAAACUCACUUAAUUUUGAUUUCUUAUAUUCUGCAGUUGUGAAAAGUAACAUUUUUCUUCUAAAUUUUAGACUAAAAUGAGUGACAGAUAUACUUUCAAAACUGUUUUCUAAGUACCAAGUUUAAUCAAAUGUUUCACAAUUUUUAGUAUCAUAUGUGUUGUUCCAUUUUCCACCAGGUAUGAAGAUGAAGGAACAGAAAGGAGCAUGUUCCAUAGGCUACUGAAUGAGUGUCAAGCCAUGUUGGCCAUGCUGUUUUUCUCAGAUUAUAUUCCUUUCUUGGGUUGGAUUGAUAAACUCAGAGGACUACGUGGUCGUCUUGAACAGAAUUUCAAGGAGUUGGAUACGUUCUACCAACAAGUCAUUGAUGAACACAUGGAUCCCAACCGAAAGAAACCAGAGAACGAGGAUUUAAUAGAUGUCUUGCUUCAACUCAAAAACCAACGUUCGUUUUCUGUAGAUCUCGAAAAUGAUCAUAUCAAAGCUGUGUUCAUG
rnacentral:lncRNA from 1 species